rnacentral:rRNA from 1 species
GACGAACGCUGGCGGCGUGCUUAACACAUGCAAGUCGAACGGUGAAGGGACCGGUUUUUGCUGGUUCUGGAUGAGUGGCGAACGGGUGAGUAACACGUGAGUAACCUGCCCCCUUCUUCUGGAUAACCGCAUGAAAGUGUGGCUAAUACGGGAUAUUCUGCGCCUGCUGCAUGGUGGGUGUGGGAAAGAUAUUGUUUCGGUGGGGGAUGGGCUCGCGGCCUAUCAGCUUGUUGGUGGGGUGAUGGCCUACCAAGGCGGUGACGGGUAGCCGGCCUGAGAGGGUGGACGGUCACACUGGGAAUGAGACACGGCCCAGACUCCUACGGGAGGCAGCAGUGGGGAAUAUUGCACAAUGGGCGCAAGCCUGAUGCAGCGACGCCGCGUGAGGGAUGGAGGCCUUCGGGUUGUAAACCUCUUUCGCCAGUGAAGCAGGCCUGUCCCUUUUGUGGGUGGGUUGACGGUAGCUGGAUAAGAAGCGCCGGCUAACUACGUG